GUGAUUGAUCAAAAUAGAGAAUAAUUUCUGAUUUACCAUACAUGUUGCAUUUUUCAUUUAAUAUGGAACCCUGCUCAAACUUUCUUCUCAAACUUGCUGCAGCUACUUCAAAUUAACCACAAUCAUAUCCUGUGCAUAUAAGAGAAGAACAAAAACAUCAUGGUUUUUCCAUUUAUCGCACCUGUACAAAACCGGACGUUUUCAUAGAUCUAAACAGACUGCAGAAUCUAAAAGCCAUUAUUAUAAAGUGAUAUUACACUUACCAAAAUGCCAAAGUUUUGGAGGAAAAUAAAAACAGCCAGGAAUAAAUAUGAGUGGUAUCCUCUGGUGAAAGACAUGCAAGCCUCCAAUGUCCAGACUCAAAACUGAGUGUGUACGACCCUUCGCUGCUGACAGGAAGGUUUGAGAGAGCAAAGCAGAAACUGCUUCAAGUACUUCAGGUAGGACUUUAUGGUAUCCACCUUGUUUUUUAACAGCAUGGCCACUUAAAUGUGCGAGGCUUCCGCUGUCAUCCACUUCUAGUUAUUUUAGCUGUACAAAAUCAGUCUGUUCUGGUGCUUGAUAUUGCAAACUGCUAUUUGUUAUGGUGUAAUUUAAAUGUAUUAUCGUAAUAAUAAAUACACUGGUUUGUAGUGCAAAUAGUUUUACAAUUUCUGCACUUUACACUUAAAAAAAUGCUGGGUCAAAACAACCCAGUGCUGGGUGAAAUAUGGACAAGCCCAGCAAUUUGGUUGUUUUGACCCAGCAGUUUGGUUAAAUGUUUAACCCAACCUUCUGGGUAGUAACCCAACCGCUGGGUCAAAACAAUCCAGUUGCUGGGUUUGUCCAAUUUUACCCAGCACUGGGUUGCAUUUAACCCAGCAUUUUUUAGAGUAUAUACAAUAGCAAUUAAUGAAACGGAAGUCUUGUACAUUCACAGAAAAGAUUGCGUUGCAAAAAAAAGGUGGGUAUGACUUUCUGUUAUUUGAAUUCUUUGACUCUCAUUACUGACUAAUGCAUGAAAGGACCCAAAACAUGCACAUGAGGUGUAACACACUUGUAUCUCUGCCCAACUUAAACUGCCAAAGGAUGACAUCUCCAAGACUCUACAGAACAUCCUACACUAUGAUGAGAAACAUGGACAUAAUGAGGACUCAAUGGAUGAAGAAACUUUCAUCAGAGUUCACUUAGAUGUCACUCAGGUAGCUCUUAGAGAGAGAGAGAGAGAGAGAGAGAGAGAGAGAGACAGAAAGUGAAGAAAGACUUCAAGGUUUUAUUUUUAAUGCUCACUUAUUUCAUGUUUUUGCCUUCACAGUGCCUGAACUAUGCUAUUUUUGAUGCUAAAAAAGUUGGUCUGACUUUGAUGCAUGCAGUACAAAUACUCUGUAGUGGAGAGCUGCAUGGUUUUGUUCAGAAGUAGGAUUCUCCUCAUAUUAUUAUCUAGUAUCCUUAUAUUCAUUUAAGUGUAUGGUUGCUGGAGAGGGAAGGUUUGUAAUCCUGUACUUAAUAUAAAUAUGUUUUCUUAGGUAUGUGGAUGCUAAGAACAAACGUCUAUAAAAAACAAACGUUUACAGAGACAAACUCUGUGUAUCUGUUUCGGAUAAUCAACACCUGCAUGCAACUCAGGUAUUUAUUAAUGAUGAUUAAGUAAUGAACUAAUACAUGGCUGUUACAGAAACUGUAUCAGUGUAUAAUUAAAUCUGGACUAAUUGAAGAAUAAGACAUAUUUGUCACCCUUGAUUUAUUCAAGUGGCAGUAUAAUUGUGGAGAUAUUAAGAUGACUAAUAUUUGGCUGUCAUAUUUGACUAAAACAGUGGUUGCCUUUUUUCCAGGGCACCCUUAUUUUAACAGUCAACCUUUUUGAAUCAAUGAAUCAGUGACAUUAACAAUGAUGGCAGAAGAUUUUUAAAUGAAAAAAUAACGUUGGUUGAGUGAGUUUAACGAAAUUUCAACCAAGGGGGGCCUUUAAUUGGUCCGUGCCCAGGGCACCGCUGUGUCAUAAUCCGUCCCUGACUUACCGUCUGGAAUUUCAUCAUGGUUUGCUGCAACUGUUUCUAUUUAUAACCCUCAAACUGGAACGAGCUCAGCGACUCCUAGUGGUGUCACGACCCGGGGUUGGGAACCACUGGGGAAAAUCCUUGUGUAGAAUAAAACAGCUUUUCUAGGUCACUGUUAUAACUAGAGUCACUAUACGGUGAGUGUAUUAUUUUAAAAAUAUUUGUGCUAAGUUGUCCUUUUCCUAUCUGGAAUGAAAAUAUUUUACCUGUAGAUGUUGUGCUACACAAAUCAGUCCAAAUACAAACAGCAGAGAUGUCUCCUCAAGCACUAUAUGCAUGCUACAGAAACUGGAAGACAAUGCUUCAUCCAUUGUACGAAAGCUCAUGAAAUGCUUAGCACAGGCCAAUUUAGAAGGUUAUUUUGAGAAAAGAGAUGGGCAUAUUGAUAUCCUGAUGGAGGCAAUCCAAAGGCAGUGUGCAUCUCUGCCUGAGACUGCUUCAGAGAUCAAAACGGUCAUUGUGAAAAUAGCUUACGACAGUGUUUCCAAAGUGUACCUGGAAUGCUUGAUGAAGACAAAUGUCAGAAAGCUAGAGAUGCUUUGGGGAAAUGCUGAGGAAAAGAUAAAAGAGGAUGUUCAACAUUUUCACCAAAUAUUCUCUGACCUGGUGAAAAAUUAACUCUAUUUCUCAGCAUAAUCCUAGUUUUAAUCCUUAACUUUUGACUAAGAGAACAGUGUGUUUUUUCAUUCAUUACACAAAUAAAAAGCUCAUGGUUUGAGUAAAGUGAUUUCUACCUGCAGAAUGGCAUUGCUGCCCAGGAGAGCUCCUUCAGAGAAUGAGUGUUUUGCUUUACAGUCAUGUAAAAACGAAGGACGUUACCAAUGCUUUGUUCAAAGACUUCCCUCAGGAGAGUGAGCAGUAUGUACCUGGUCUGCUGCGCUGGAAGGGUGUGUUAUCAGAGCAACAGGUGAAGGAAGUGCUGGAUGAGAUUCGGGAACCCUGCCAAAAUCCAGAUCCUACACAUGUCACCUGUUUUCUUCUGAAGGGACUUUUUUGUUGUAAAUAGCUUGAGGUCAGAGGUCAGUAAAAGUAAGCUAUGGAGAAUGUUCUCUGAACAUUGUGCUAUUUAUAUUUUCAAGCAUUCAGAUCUGAUGUUAAUUUUUAAAAUAUGUCCUAAAUCUUUUUUGUUCACACCUGUCUAAAACAAACUGUUGGUGUUCCGAACAAAGUGAAAAUACAGGUGAAUUGGAAACAAUUACUCUGUAAAGACUGACAUUUGAAAUAAUAGUUAGAACAAUUUUUUUUUUAAAUGGGACAGUUUAUUAAAAAUGUAUAUGCCAACUUACAUAAAAUGCAUUUAAAUAUUAGUUGUCACUCUGUAUCUUCCAAUAGUAUGUCUUAGUAAAAUGAUAUUUAAAUGCUUAGUUUUAUUAUCAAAGCUCUGUAGUUAUUUAUUGUUGGGCAAAACAUAUAAUGCAAUGCAAUACAAUAAUUGUUGAGAAAUUAACCUCUUAAGCACAGGGCUAUUUUGGGGAUUUCCGCCUGGCAUUUUUCCUACCCAAAUUCAAAAGCUUCCCAUACCCACAUGCAGAGGUGUACAUACAAAAGUUUGGUAUCAUUUUACAGGAAAUCCUUUGAAAUUACAUAAAACAGUGUUGAAACUGAUAAAAAUGGUUUAAUAUGUUGUCUGUGUUAUAAUAAAUGGGGAAAAAAAAAGGCGCUUUUUGAUUUUUUUUUUUAUAAACUGAAGUUUGAAAUUGUAUAGCUCAGGUUCUGAGAGGUCCAGCAUCCUGCAAACAAUUGUAUUUGUUUCCAGCACAUGUCAGCUAAUAGAGGAAAAAGGAAAUUUGUUUCUAUCAUAAUCUAUGCAAAAGUUAUUCUAUUCCAUCUAAAGGGAGGAAUAAUACCCUUUUUGUAUACAUUUUCCGACUACCCACAUUUGAAGACUCCAAAUACCCACAUAUAGUAGAAUAGAUGCAAUAUCUUUAUAUCCUUUUACAGAAAACCCUUUGAAGUGACAUAAAAAGCUGCUGUUUGUGACAAAUAUUAUUAUUUGUGUUGUUUUUCACAUGAUGAACCACCUCAAUACAAGGCGCUUUUUUUGUGUGUUCUAAACACUUUCUUUGAAAGUAGAUAACUCAGGCCCUGUGUGCUCUAGCAAACUGCAUUACUUUAUAAAAUAUAUCUGGUCUAUCACAAUCUAAAAUAGAAUCCACAUUCUCCAGCUUUAUAUCAUUUCAUUCAUGUGCAUUCUGUAUUGGUAUACUGAUUCAGAGCAUCUGACCUCAGCAUCCACUGUCUCACUUCAGCAUCUUCAGCACCCUCUUUGUCUGUUUGGUCGCGAGCUGCGGGCUAUCCGCUAACCGGAGCUGCUAUAUGGCCUUCAGAGCGUCAAAGAAACACAUAUAUGUUCAUCCACACAGCACUGUAAUAAUCCAUGUGUAUUUACUGUAUAUUUACUGAAAUGCAUCAUGUACUGUACUUUUCUGUCAAUAAACAGUUUAUCAGAUUGUCA
ensembl:lncRNA